ACAGUAAUUUCUAAAUGCAGAAAAGCAGUGAAAUGAUAUUUCAAAAGUCCAUACUCAUCCACCAGGUUCCCAGAGAUUUUCAGCUCUCUUGGAGCUGCUAACUGGUAUCUUCAAACACUGCAGGAGCUCUCCCCAGUUCUGGUCUCUAAAGAACAGCACCAGUGCCUCCAGAUGCAUGCAGGCAGAGAUGAUCACC